AAGGACGAACGCUGGCGGCGUGGAUUAGGCAUGCAAGUCGGACGGUAGGGCUUUAUCGUAAGAUAGAGUUUGAGAGUGGCGAACGGGUGAGUAACACGUAGGAAUCUACCCUUAAGACGGGGACAACCCAGGGAAACUUGGGCUAAUACCGGAUGAGAGUGCGAGAGAUUGCAUUUAAAAGGAUGGCGAAAGUUGUCGCUUAGGGAUGAGCCUGCGGUCUAUUAGUUAGUUGGUGAGGUAAGAGCUCACCAAGGCGAUGAUAGAUAGGCGGCCUUAACGGGUGGUCGCCCACACUGGGAUUGAGAUACGGCCCAGACUCCUACGGGAGGCAGCAGUCGAGAAUAGUCUACAAUGGACGGAAGUCUGAUAGUGCGACGCCGCGUGAACGAAGAAUCCCUUCGGGGUGUAAAGUUCUUUUAUACGUGAGCAGUGUCCUUUAUAUUAAUAGUAUAAGGGGAGAGAUAUUAGCGUAUGAAUAAGCAACGGCUAACUCCGUG
rnacentral:rRNA from 1 species